rnacentral:rRNA from 1 species
AGGACGAACGCUGGCGGCGUGCCUCAUACAUGCAAGUGGAGCGACGAACCAGGAUUUAUCCUGGGGCAAAGCCGCGAACGGGUGAGUAACACGUGGGUUACCUGCCCCGAAGACUGGGACAACACCGGGAAACCGGUGCUAAUACCGGAUAUCCCUAUCGGACCGCAUGAUCUGAUAAGGAAAUGGAUUCCGCUUCGGGAGGGACUCGCGGCCUAUCAGCUUGUUGGUGAGGUAAUGGCUCACCAAGGCGACGACGGGUA